AUUGAACGCUGGCGGCAUGCCUUACACAUGCAAGUCGAACGGCAGCACGGGUGCUUGCACCUGGUGGCGAGUGGCGAACGGGUGAGUAAUACAUCGGAACAUGUCCUGUAGUGGGGGAUAGCCCGGCGAAAGCCGGAUUAAUACCGCAUACGAUCCACGGAUGAAAGCGGGGGACCUUCGGGCCUCGCGCUGUAGGGUUGGCCGAUGGCUGAUUAGCUAGUUGGUGGGGUAAAGGCCUACCAAGGCGACGAUCAGUAGCUGGUCUGAGAGGACGACCAGCCACACUGGGACUGAGACACGGCCCAGACUCCUACGGGAGGCAGCAGUGGGGAAUUUUGGACAAAGGGCGAAAGCCUGAUCCAGCAAUGCCGCGUGUGUGAAGAAGGCCUUCGGGUUGUAAAGCACUUUUGUCCGGAAAGAAAUCCUUGACUCUAAUACAGUCGGGGGAUGACGGUACCGGAAGAAUAAGCACCGGCUAACUACGUG
rnacentral:rRNA from 1 species